rnacentral:pre_miRNA from 1 species
AUACUACUCCCUCCGUCCGAAAAUACUUGUCAUCAAAAUGGACAAAAAAAAUAUGUAUUUAGAACUAAAAUACAUCUAGAUACAUUCAUUUUUAUUCAUUUUGAUGACAAGUAUUUCCGGACGGAGGGAGUAUCUA